GCGAUCAUACCAGCACUAAUGCACCAGAUCCUAUCAGAAUUCCGAAGUUAAGCGUGCUUGGGCGAGAGAAGUACUAGGAUAAGUGACCAGAUGCUCGUGGGGAGGCCUGGAGCAGGUCAAGGUG
rnacentral:rRNA from 1 species